rnacentral:rRNA from 1 species
AUGAACGCUGGCGGCGUGCCUAACACAUGCAAGUCGAACGAGAAGCUGACUUCUGAUUCCUUCGGGAUGAUGAAGUUAGCAGAAAGUGGCGAACGGGUGAGUAACGCGUGGGUAAUCUACCCUGUUUUAGUGGGGGAUAACCCUCCGAAAGGAGGGCUAAUACCGCAUAAUAUCUUCUCCUCAUAAGAGAAGAAGAUUAAAAGAUGGCCUCUAUACUAUGCUAUCGCUUCAGGAUGAGCCUGCGUCCUAUUAGUUAGUUGGUGGGGUAAUGGCCUACCAAGACCACAAUGGGUAGCCGGUCUGAGAGGAUGUACGGCCACACUGGGACUGAGAUACGGCCCAGACUCCUACGGGAGGCAGCAGUGGGGAAUCUUGCGCAAUGGGGGAAACCCUGACGCAGCGA